rnacentral:rRNA from 1 species
UACGUAGGGGGCAAGCGUUGUCCGGAAUCAUUGGGCGUAAAGCGCGUGUAGGCGGCCCGGUAAGUCCGCUGUGGAAGUCCAAGGCUCAACCCUGGGAUGCCGGUGGAUACUGUCGGGCUCGAGUCCGGAAGAGGCGAGUGGAAUUCCUGGUGUAGCGGUGAAAUGCGCAGAUAUCAGGAGGAACACCAAUGGCGAAGGCAGCUCGCUGGGACGUGACUGACGCUGAGACGCGAAAGCGUGGGGAGCAAACAGG